UACAGAGGUCCCAAGCGUUGUUCGGAUUCACUGGGCGUAAAGGGUGCGUAGGCGGACAGGUAAGUCAGUGGUGAAAUCUCUGGGCUUAACUCAGAAACUGCCGUUGAUACUAUUUGUCUUGAAUAUCUUGGAGGUAAGCGGAAUAUGUCAUGUAGCGGUGAAAUGCUUAGAUAUGACAUAGAACACCGAUAGCGAAGGCAGCUCACUACAGGAAGAUUGACGCUGAGGCACGAAAGCGUGGGGAGCAAACAGG
rnacentral:rRNA from 1 species